AAAGAACUUUGAAGAGAGAGUUCAAGAGUACGUGAAACUGUGUAGUGGUAAACAGAGGCGUUCUCGAAGUCGCGGGCGGAGGUUCAGGCUAACGUGGGUCUCGCCUCCGCGUCUGGGAUCCGCAAGGACUCGGCGCGGUGGUGGGGGCUCUCGGUGGCAGCAUUUCUCCGCCCGUUCACGCAACGAACCGCUGGGACUGGACUGAGGGCGUGGGUGAAGUUCGCGGCCUCGGCUGCGAGCCCCGCGUUCCUAGCUUCGGACCCGGCGGGUAGCUAAGCAGGCUCGUAUAGCGAGUGUCUUCACUGGCACGGCUUGCAUCUCAGUUGCGAGUAGGUCGGCGGCGCCUCUGACCCGUCUUGAAACACGGACCAAGGAGUCUAACAUGUGUGCGAGUCAUUGGGUUGACUAAACCUAGCGGCGCAGUGAAAGCAAAGGCUGCCCAGCAGCUCAGGGACGAUCCCCCUCGCGGGGCGCAAUCCCGGCGCUUCGCAUCGACCUCGCUUCGUGCGGAGCAGCAAGAGCAUACACGUUGGGACCCGAAAGAUGGUGAACUAUGCCUGGCCAGGUUGAAGUCAGGGGAAACCCUGAUGGAGGACCGUAGCGAUUCUGACGUGCAAAUCGAUCGUCGGAGCUGGGUAUAGGGGCGAAAGACUAAUCGAACCAUCUAGUAGCUGGUUCCUUCCGAA
rnacentral:rRNA from 1 species